GUCCACGCCCUAAACGAUGUCUACUAGUUGUCGGGUCUUAAUUGACUUGGUAACGCAGCUAACGCGUGAAGUAGACCGCCUGGGGAGUACGGUCGCAAGAUUAAAACUCAAAGGAAUUGACGGGGACCCGCACAAGCGGUGGAUGAUGUGGAUUAAUUCGAUGCAACGCGAAAAACCUUACCUACCCUUGACAUGGACGGAAUUUUGAAGAGAUUUGGAAGUGCCCGAAAGGGACCGUUACACAGGUGCUGCAUGGCUGUCGU
rnacentral:rRNA from 1 species